CGCACAUUGCGCCCCUUGGCAUUCCGAGGGGCAUGCCCGUUCGAGCGUCAUUAAAUCCAAUCAAGCCCGGCUUGGUAUUGGGCAUCGGGGCCUCCCCGUGCCUCAAUUUCACCGGCUGGCCGUCGCCCGUCUUAGCGUUGUGACACACUUCUCGCUGGUGACGGAGGCGGACCACGCCGUUAACACCCCCCAAAUUUCGAUGGAGAUUUGACCAAGGUUGACCUCGGAUCGGGUAGGGAUACCCGCUGAACUUAA
rnacentral:misc_RNA from 1 species